ACAGAGGAGAGAUGACAAUGUAAACUCAUCUAAAAUCACUUUGGACACAGUGCAAUGUAUAUUCAAGUAAAAAGAAAGGAAAGGGUGACAGAACAUCAGAACGUAAUAUUAGUCUCAACAUUGCCUGAAGAAGUGAAUGAUUAUGAUGAUUUUUUUUUUCUGUGGAGAAUAAUGUCUUGCAGUUCAUGACCAUGACUUUUCAAUUCACCUGGAUACGAUCCAAUUCCCAGCAAUAACUCAUCUAACUUCUUACAACAGUAGA